UACGUAGGGUGCGAGCGUUAAUCGGAAUUACUGGGCGUAAAGUGUGCGCAGGCGGCAGAGCAAGUCGAGUGUGAAAGCCCCCGGGCUUAACUUGGGAAUUGCGCUCGAAACUACUUUGCUGGAGUGUGGCAGAGGAAGGUGGAAUUCCACGUGUAGCGGUGGAAAUGACGUAGAGAUGUGGAGGAACACCAAAUGGCGCAAGGC
rnacentral:rRNA from 1 species